GGUGAGAUGGCCGAGCGGUCUAAGGCGCCAGACUAAGGUGUUAUCUGGUCUCUUCGGGGGCGGGAGUUCAAAUCUCCCUCUCAUCA
rfam:Termitomyces sp. J132 unplaced genomic scaffold scaffold100, whole genome shotgun sequence.